GCACCGCACCGAGCGCCGGCAGAGGAAGAAGCGCACGGAAGCGCAGAUGUGCAUUGUCUAUCCAAGACUAGUUUUAAUUUUCUUGAAUGAGCUUUGUAAACUGAAGACUUGAUUUCAACUACCACUUUUAAAGGAAUUUUAUUGAAAGGGCAGUUGGUGACCUGUGCUUUUGUAAAGGCUGGCAUAAAACACAACACCUGUGAAUAUAAGCCCAUUAUUUGCCUCACUUCAAACCUGAUGCCUCAAAACUAGCCUAACAGUUUUGAAAUGGAUGUGACUGAUGAGUUGGAAUUGUUAAGACACACAGCAAUGACUGAAAGCAUUCGAACUUUUAUUAUGAUAGAAACUGCACUUUUAACCUUGGCAGUGCUGCUGACUUACAAUAUUAAGAAAAACCUUAAAUUUUCUAGGGGAAAGCCAUACAAUUUGCUGCACACUGAACUCAGUAAUUCAAUCUCAUUAGACUCAUUAAUUCAGUUAUUAUUAUGAUGAAGUAAUGCACUAAAAUGACUGGUCCUACAUAAUUACCCUUUCCAAAUCAUUCUCCUGAAAAACAGGUUCUUACUUAGCAGCUAGAUCCAAACAGCAGCCUCCUCCCACUUGAUCAAACCUGCACAAGUGUCCUGCAUAAGUACAGGACUGGUAUAAACUAUACACUCUUGUCUGCAGGAGCAGCUCAUUCACCGAGUUGCCUUUAGCAAAAUCUAGAAAUGCUGAUUUUAAUUCCAGUAUCCUAUUGUACACAGGAAAAAAAGCAAAGAAAUCACAGAAUCAUAGAGUGAUGUAGGUUGAAAGAG